rnacentral:rRNA from 1 species
GACAGCAGUAGCCACGGUAAUACGGAGGGAGCUAGCGUUGUUCGGAAUUACUGGGCGUAAAGCGCGCGUAGGCGGUUACUCAAGUCAGAGGUGAAAGCCCGGGGCUCAACCCCGGAACUGCCUUUGAAACUAGGUGACUAGAAUCUUGGAGAGGUCAGUGGAAUUCCGAGUGUAGAGGUGAAAUUCGUAGAUAUUCGGAAGAACACCAGUGGCGAAGGCGACUGACUGGACAAGUAUUGACGCUGAGGUGCGAAAGCGUGGGGAGCAAACAGGAUUAGAUACCCGUGUAGUCCCUGUCUCUUAUAC